rnacentral:rRNA from 1 species
AUUGAACGCUGGCGGAAUGCUUUACACAUGCAAGUCGAGCGGCAGCACGGGGGCAAUCCUGGUGGCGAGCGGCGAACGGGUGAGUAAUACAUCGGAACAUGCCCAGUCGUGGGGGAUAACACUUCGAAAGAAGUGCUAAUACCGCAUACGUCCUGAGGGAGAAAGCGGGGGAUCUUCGGACCUCGCGCGAUUGGAGUGGCCGAUGUCAGAUUAGCUAGUUGGUGGGGUAAAGGCCUACCAAGGCAACGAUCUGUAGCUGGUCUGAGAGGAUGAUCAGCCACACUGGGACUGAGACACGGCCCAGACUCCUACGGGAGGCAGCAGUGGGGAAUUUUGGACAAUGGGGGCAACCCUGAUCCAGCCAUUCCGCGUGAGUGAAGAAGGCUUUCGGGUUGUAAAGCUCUUUCGGCAGGAACGAAACGGCGAGCUCUAACAUAGCUUGCUAAUGACGGUACCUGAAGAAGAAGCACCGGCUAACUUCGUGCCAGCCGCCGCCGUAAUAC